rnacentral:rRNA from 1 species
UACGGAGGUCUCAAGCGUUGUUCGGAUUCAUUGGGCGUAAAGGGUGCGUAGGCGGCGCGGUAAGUCGGGUGUGAAAUCUCGGGGCUUAACUCCGAAACUGCAUUCGAUACUGCCGUGCUUGAGGACUGGAGAGGAGACUGGAAUUUACGGUGUGGCGGUGAAAUGCGUAGAUAUCGUAAGGAAGACCAGUGGCGAAGGCGGGUCUCUGGACAGUUCCUGACGCUGAGGCACGAAGGUCAGGGGAGCAAACGGG